UGUGCGCUUACACACUCAUAUCUGUAGUAGCCAGAGCGGUGAGCCGCGCACAUUUCAAUUCCCUUAGUUAUCUGAAAGCAGUCUGAGGAAUCGGUUGCGGCUCAUCGUCACCGGAUGAUAGGCAAUCGUCUAUUUAAAAUUGAUCGGCCACAGUUGCGAUUAUUAGUUAGUGUUUAGUUUUCGCCUUCUUGCCACCACGGCUUAACUAAUACGUCCACAAUCAGUACGGGAAGAGGUGUGCACUUUUAUACACAUACUAAGAAGCUAGUGCAUCGCGCAACAGUGGUACACGCAACGCAUUACUCAAUAUUCGUUUCUUGAUUCCGCACAUAAAGGCAAAAUUAAACGGACGGAAAAAAGUGAAAUGUAUUUAAAUUUAGUGAGUCGAAACGAGCUGUGACUGCAAGAAGCAAAAAAAUUGCAAAAGUAAAAACAAAGACAAUUCUAAAAUAGUAGUCGUAGUGAAAAACCCCUAAACAAAAUCUGAUAAAAGUUGAAGCAGCAUUUGCGCGAGUUGUUGCCUACAUAUCUUCCAGUCAAUACUAAAUAAGUGCGUACACAUAUUACUCCCGUAUUGAAACAGAUCCAUAUCAAUACAUGUUUGUGUGAGAGGUUAGGUCGCCUGCAUACCGUAUACUUGCCUUCACCCAAUCACAUACAAGCAUGUAAGUGCAUACUUUGGCAAAUGUAAAGUAAGGCAAACUGUCGUAGAAAGUGUCGCAUACAUUGUAAACAGCUGAACGCCUUUUCGCCUUAGUGCAUAGCGCUAACACCACAUCGCCCUUCAUCGAUCGACCGGUUAUCGCCUUCCUCAUCAAUAUUGAAAAUAACCACCAUUACUUCCGUAGAUACCAACAGCUGAGUCUGCGUUAAACAACUAAAUCGAGCCUAACAAAGAUAAUAACUAACUAUCGUAAAAAAACAAUAGCUGGUACGAUAAUAGCAACAGCAGCAUUACAUAGUUGUCAUAAUAAUAACAAAGACGACAACAACGUCAGCAACGUCAACUGAAAGAACUGUGCAUCGGCGGCAACGACAAAUUUUGUGGAAGGCUGUCUUUUAUUUAUUUAUUCAAUACACUGCAG